rnacentral:rRNA from 1 species
GGGGGGGGGGGGGGGGGGGGGGGGGGGGGGGGGGGCGGGGGGGUGGGGGGGGGGGGCGCGUGGGGUCAGCGGCGGGCGGGUGAGUGACGCCUAGGAAUCUGCCGGGUAGUGGGGGAUAACGUCCGGAGACGGGCGCUAAUACCGCGUACGUCCUGGGGGAGAAAGUGGGGGGGCUUCGGACCUCACGCUAUCGGAUGAGCCUAGGUCGGAUUAGCUAGUUGGUGGGGUAAAGGCCUACCAAGGCGACGCUCCGUAACUGGUCUGAGAGGAUGAUCAGUCACACUGGAACUGAGACACGGUCCAGACUCCUACGGGAGGCAGCAGUGGGGAAUAUUGGACAAUGGGCGAAAGCCUGAUCCAGCCAUGCCGCGUGUGUGAAGAAGGUCUUCGGAUUGUAAAGCACUUUAAGUUGGGAGGAAGGGCAGUAAGUUAAUACCUUGCUGUUUUGACGUUACCAACAGAAUAAGCACCGGCUAACUUCGUG